ensembl:lncRNA
CAACCAUCAGCGUGCAAACGAGUCCCACAGUUAUGGUACGUCACGGCGCCGGGAAUAAGACGUCGGACGGAUGAAAGGACGCGGUGUGUGUGUGUGUGUAGAAGCGGAGAGAUCAGAAUAGGCUACAUGAAGCCUCUUCAUCAGGCGCAGUGUUAUGACAGAGCCUGGCGAAACCGAUGUGACACUGCUUGAACGCGAAUGCUGACGGAGAUGGAGUGAGUGUGCAGUGAUAUGGACUUGUGAAGGCUGGCAGAGGAUCAGAGCUGCUCUGAUUUCUGAGCAAAUCUUUCCUGCAAUAACGGACAGCAAAGUGAAGUUUACUGAAAACAAACAUCGUCAACAAC